CUGUGGGAGAGCCCAUCCGCGAGGAUGGCGCCGAAGGAGCAACCGGCCCCGGAAACUCUCAGGCCAACGGACCGCAGGAGG
rnacentral:ncRNA from 1 species